rnacentral:rRNA from 1 species
AUUAGACGAAUCAUCUGGAAAGAUGAAUCAAAGAAGGUAAUAAUCCUGUAGUCGAAAAUGUUGUCUCUCUUGAGUGGAUCCUGAGUACGACGGAGCACGUGAAAUUCCGUCGGAAUCUGGGAGGACCAUCUCCUAAGGCUAAAUACUCUCUAGUGACCGAUAGUGAACCAGUACCGUGAGGGAAAGGUGAAAAGCACCCCGGAAGGGGAGUGAAAUAGAACCUGAAACCGUGUGCUUACAAGUAGUCAGAGCCCGUUAAUGGGUGAUGGCGUGCCUUUUGUAGAAUGAACCGGCGAGUUACGAUUUGAUGCAAGGUUAAGCAGUAAAUGUGGAGCCGUAGCGAAAGCGAGUCUGAAUAGGGCGUUUAGUAUUUGGUCGUAGACCCGAAACCAGGUGAUCUACCCUUGGUCAGGUUGAAGUUCAGGUAACACUGAAUGGAGGACCGAACCGACUUACGUUGAAAAGUGAGCGGAUGAACUGAGGGUAGCGGAGAAAUUCCAAUCGAACCUGGAGAUAGCUGGUUCUCUCCGAAAUAGCUUUAGGGCUAGCCUCAAGUGAUGAUUAUUGGAGGUAGAGCACUGUUUGGACGAGGGGCCCCUCUCGGGUUACCGAAUUCAGACAAACUCCGAAUGCCAAUUAAUUUAACUUGGGAGUCAGAACAUGGGUGAUAAGGUCCGUGUUCGAAAGGGAAACAGCCCAGACCACCAGCUAAGGUCCCAAAAUAUAUGUUAAGUGGAAAAGGAUGUGGCGUUGCCCAGACAACUAGGAUGUUGGCUUAGAAGCAGCCAUCAUUUAAAGAGUGCGUAAUAGCUCACUAGUCGAGUGACACUGCGCCGAAAAU